rnacentral:tRNA from 1 species
GGAAGGGUGUCCGAGCGGUUUAAGGAGCUAGUCUUGAAAACUAGUGAUACGGCAACGUACCGUGGGUUCGAAUCCCACCCCUUCCGCCA